rnacentral:rRNA from 1 species
CCUACGGGAGGCAGCAGUGAGGAAUAUUGGUCAAUGGCCGGAAGGCUGAACCAGCCAUGCCGCGUGAAGGUCAGUGCCCUAUGGGCGUUAAACUUCCUUUGUGCGGGAGCAAUAAUGGUCACGUGUGGCCAGACGAGAGUACCGUACGAAUAAGCAUCGGCUAACUCCGUGCCAGCAGCCGCGGUAAUACGGGGGAGGCAAGCGUUAUUCGGAUUUAAUGGGUUUAAAGGGUGCGUAGGCUGUGAGGUAAGUCAGCGGUGAAAUGCCCCCGCGCAACGGGGUGAAGUGCCAUUGAUACUGCCUUGCUGGAAUGCGCAUGCCGUGGGAGGAAUGUGUGGUGUAGCGGUGAAAUGCAUAGAGAUCACACAGAACCCCGAUUGCGAAGGCAUCUCACGAAUCCGCGAUUGACGCUGAUGCACGAAAGCGUGGGUAUCAAACAGGAUUAGAUACCCCUGUAGUC